GGAAUAUUGGACAAUGGGCGCAAGCCUGAUCCAGCCAUGCCGCGUGAGUGAUGAAGGCCCUAGGGUUGUAAAGCUCUUUCACCCACGAGGAUAAUGACGGUAGAGGGAGAAGAAGCCCCGGCUAACUUCGUGCCAGCAGCCGCGGUAAUACGAAGGGGGCUAGCGUUGUUCGGAAUCACUGGGCGUAAAGCGCACGUAGGCGGACUGAUCAGUCAGGGGUGAAAUCCCGGGGCUUAACCCCGGAACUGCCUUUGAUACUGUCAGUCUGGAGGCCGAGAGAGGUGAGUGGAACUCCGAGUGUAGAGGUGAAAUUCGUAGAUAUUCGGAAGAACACCAGUGGCGAAGGCGGCUCACUGGCUCGGUACUGACGCUGAGGUGCGAAAGCGUGGGGAGCAAAC
rnacentral:rRNA from 1 species